CUUUUUCCUUUUCUUUUUCCUUUUCUUUUUCCCCUUGUAUUUUUACAUGAGGGAGGAGGA
rnacentral:ribozyme from 13 species